UACUCGAGUGGCGAACGGGUGAGUAACACGUGGGUGAUCUGCCCUGCACUUCGGGAUAAGCCUGGGAAACUGGGUCUAAUACCGGAUAGGAACCAUCUUUAGUGUGGUGGUUGGAAAGUUUUUUCGGUGUAGGAUGAGCUCGCGGCCUAUCAGCUUGUUGGUGGGGUAAUGGCCUGCCAAGGCGGCGACGGGUAGCCGGCCUGAGAGGGUGUACGGCCACAUUGGGACUGAGAUACGGCCCAG
rnacentral:rRNA from 1 species